rnacentral:rRNA from 1 species
AUUGAACGCUGGCGGCAGGCCUAACACAUGCAAGUCGAGCGAGCGGCGGACGGGUGAGUAAUGUAUGGGGACUGCCCGAUAGAGGGGGAUAACUACUGGAAACGGUGGCUAAUACCGCAUACUAUCGGAUAACCCAUAUGGGAUUAGCUAGUAGGUGGGGUAAAGGCUCACCUAGGCGACGAUCGCUAGCUGGUCGGAGAGGAUGCUCAGCAACACUGGGACGGGGAAACGGCCCAGACUCCUAGGGAGGCAGAAGUGGGAAAUAUUGCAAAAGGGGCGAAAGCCUGAUGCAGCAAUGCGGCGUGUAUGAAGAGGGCCUUAGGGUUGUAAAGUACGUUCAGCGGGGAGGCGUUACCCGCAGAAGAAGCAACGGCUAACUCCGUGCCAGCAGCCGCGGUAAUUC